GACAGCAGCCGCCGCGGUAAUACAGAGGGUGCGAGCGUUAAUCGGAUUUACUGGGCGUAAAGCGUGCGUAGGCGGCUUUUUAAGUCGGAUGUGAAAUCCCUGAGCUUAACUUAGGAAUUGCAUUCGAUACUGGGAAGCUAGAGUAUGGGAGAGGAUGGUAGAAUUCCAGGUGUAGCGGUGAAAUGCGUAGAGAUCUGGAGGAAUACCGAUGGCGAAGGCAGCCAUCUGGCCUAAUACUGACGCUGAGGUACGAAAGCAUGGGGAGCAAACAGGAUUAGAGACCCCGGUAGUCCCUGUCUCUUAUAC
rnacentral:rRNA from 1 species